AUUUUCAUUUCCUCGUGACAUUCCAUUUGUUUAAUCAAGGCUAAAUGUAUUAUUUAAGACAAUAAUGGUCUUAACGCAGAAGGACAAAUGGAAUGUCAGUUAUUUUGUUUUUUUUUUUUUUUUUGAGACAGCAUCUCGCUCUGUCAGCCAGGCUGGAGUGCAGUGGCACGAUCUUGACUCGCGGCAACCUCUGCCUCCUGGGUUCAAGCGAUUCUCCCACCUCAGUCUCCAGAGUAGCUGGGACUACAGGCGUGCGCCACCACGCCUGGCUAAUAUUUGUAUUUUUAGUAGAGACGGGGUUUCACCUUGUUGGCCAGGCUGGUCUUGAACUCCUGACCUCAAGUGAUCCACCUGCCUCAGCCUUCCAAAGUGCUGGCAUUACAGGCGUGAGUCACUGCGCCUGGCCUGCUCUUUGUUUUUUAUACUGUAUUCUGUAGGUAUUUUUAUGUACAUUACACUAAUGUUAUUCACUCUUUGGUGACCUUGACAAAAUGGAGCUAUAAUGUUUGGUAUAAAAAGUUCUGGGCCGGGAAACAGGAAGCCUGAAUUCUGAUCUCUGUCCUGCUACUACCAACUCUGGACUUCAAGUAGUCAUUUAGCCUCUGAGUUCUCCUUCUUCAGUCUAAGUUAUUGAUAAUAAUCAAGCCCUUUAUCAUUUAGGGACUUAUUUUUCCAUGGCUUUUGCUUAGUUUUGUACAGUGUAUAUGUCAACAUGUAAAAGCCCUUUCAUGGUACUGCCCAAUUUAAGUCCAAACACGGUAGAACUGAAAACUGCGCAUUGGUUGCUUUGAAAUGGUCUCUCUGAUGAUACUGGAGUGGCAGAGUCGUUGGAGUCCAGUCCGAUGCAAUGAAUCUCAUAAAAUAAAUAGUCCUAUAGUCCCGGCUACUCGGGAUGCUGAGGCAGGAGGAUUGCUUGAGUCCAGAAAUUUGAGACCAACCUGGGCAACAUAGCAAGACUUCAUCUCUUAAAAAAAAAAAUGGCACCAAGUAAACAUUAGCUCUUUAUAUGGCACCAAGUAAAUAUUAGCUCAGUGUGAGCUAGUUAGAAUUUCAUAUCCUCUUCCUGCCUGCCAAAGUGAAAACUCUGCUUGGAAUCUUAUGUUUUAUGUGCAGUAUGUUCAGAUUUUCUAGCUGGGAUUGUCUGACAUCUAACUUGACUUUUACUCCUCUUAGUCCUCCCAAACCGAAGGACCCUGUAUCUGCAGCUGUGCCAGCACCAGGGAGAAACAACAGUCAGAUAGCCUCUGGCCAAAACCAGCCCCAGGCAGCUGCUGGCUCCCACCAGCUCUCUGUGGGCCAACCUCACAAUGCUGCAGGGCCCAGCCCGCAUACACUGCGCAGAGCUGUUAAAAAACCCGCUCCAGCACCUCCGAAACCAGGCAACCCACCUCCUGGACACCCCGGGGGCCAGAGUUCUUCAGGAACAUCUCAGCAUCCACCCAGUCUGUCACCAAAGCCACCCACCCGAAGCCCCUCUCCUCCCACCCAGCACACGGGCCAGCCUCCAGUCCAGCCCUCCGCCCCCUCCCAGCUCUCAGCACCCCGGAGGUACUCCAGCAGCCUGUCUCCAAUCCAAGCUCCCAAUCACCCGCCGCCGCAGCCCCCUACGCAGGCCACGCCACUGAUGCACACCAAACCCAAUAGCCAGGGCCCUCCCAACCCCAUGGCAUUGCCCAGUGAGCAUGGACUUGAGCAGCCAUCUCACACCCCUCCCCAGACUCCAACGCCUCCCAGUACUCCGCCCCUAGGAAAACAGAACCCCAGUCUGCCAGCUCCUCAGACCCUGGCGGGGGGUAACCCUGAGACUGCACAGCCACAUGCUGGAACCUUACCGAGACCGAGACCAGUACCAAAGCCAAGGCACCGGCCCAGCGUGCCCCCCCCCCCCAACCUCCUGGUGUCCACUCAGCUGGGGACAGCAGCCUCACCAGCACAGCACCAACAGCUUCCAAGAUAGUAACAGACUCCAAUUCCAGGGUUUCAGAACCGCAUCGCAGCAUCUUUCCUGAAAUGCACUCAGACUCAGCUAGCAAAGACGUGCCUGGCCGCAUCCUGCUGGAUAUAGACAAUGACACCGAGAGCACUGCCCUGUGAAGAAAGCCCUCUCCCAGCCCUCCACCCCUUCCACCCUGGUGAGUGGAGCAGGGGCAGGCGAACCUCUUCCUUUGCAGACCAAACAGUGAAAAGCUUUCAGUGGAGGACAAAGGAGGGCCUCACUGUGCGGGACCUGGCCUUCUGCACGGCCCAAGGAGAACCUGGAGGCCACCACUAAAGCUGAAUGACCUGUGUCUUGAAGAAGUUGGCUUUCUUUACGUGGGAAGGAAAUCAUGCCAAAAAAAUCCAAAACAAAGAAAUAGCUGGAGUGGAGAGAGUAUUCCUGCUGAAACGCGCGUAGGAAGCUUUUGUCCCUCUGUUAAUGUGGGCAGCACCUACAGGAACUUGGAGUGAGUAAGAAGCAGUGCGUUAACUAUCUAUUUAAUAAAAUGCGCUCGUUAUGCAAGUCGCCUACUCUCUGCUACCUGGACGUUCAUUCUUAUGUAUUAGGAGGGAGGCCGCUCUCCUUCAGACUUGCUGCAGAAUCAUUUUGUAUCAUGUAUGGUCUGUGUCUCCCCAGUCCCCUCAGAACCAUGCCCAUGGAUGGUGACUGCUGGCUCUGUCACCUCGUCAAACUGGAUGUGACCCAUGCCGCCUUGUUGGAUUGUCGGAAUCUAGGCAGAAAUGUACUGUUCUUUUUUUUUUUUUUUUAAACAAUGUAAUUGCUACUUGAUAAGGACCGAACAUUAUUCUAGUUUCAUGUUUAAUUUGAAUUAAAUAUAUUCUGUGGUUUAUAUG
rnacentral:sRNA from 1 species